GAAAACCCGUUGUCUAUUUAGGGCGGUCAUAGACAACGAGUCUGAAACAUGUUGUCUAUGAUAACUAUAGACAACGGUUUUGGAAAACUCGUUGUCUAUUUAGGGCGGUCAUAGACAACGAGGCUGAAACAUGUUGUCUAUUAUAACUAUAGACAACGUUUUUGGAAAAACCGUUGUCUAUUUAGGGCGGUCAUAGACAACGAGUCUGAAACUCGUUGUCUAUUAUAACUAUAGACAACGGUUUUGAAAAUACUUAAUUUUUUUUCUCUCUCUUCUUUCACUAAUUUUUUUUUACUAUUUUUUUCUUUAAUUUUUUUUAUGAACAUCAUCAAAUUUAAUUCAUAAAAAAAAUACUUAAUACUACAUCUUAAAUUUAAGUUAAUGAAAAAAUAUUUAAUAUGAUAUAAAAAUCAUAAAAAAUAAAUAAAUUAUGAAAAAACAAAAUUAAAAAUAUUUUAUUUUUUUUCUCUUCAUUAACAUUUUAUACCCAUAUUAAACCCAACACAAACCCUAUUCCCCUUAUCUCUCCUGCGCCCUCUCCCAUCUCACUAUCUCUCUCUCAGAAUUUCAUCCCUCUCUCUCAGCCCUAGGUCCCGCCGCCACAGCCACUUUGCGCCAUCGCCGGAGCCCGGCAGCUCCAUCGCGGCCAACCGCUGCAAUUUGUCGGCCGCCGCUGUCCAAGCCCCACGCCGCCGAUUCUCCUGUCUCUCUGACUCUCUUUCCCGGCGCAGCAGAUCAGUUCCGUCGCGUCUUGCGCCACCUCCAGGCUCCGGCGCUCAGCCUCUUCUCUUCUCACCGCCUCCGACUCCGACAACCUUCAAAAAAUUAAAUCCUCGAAGAUUCUGAAAUGCCUUGGGUAUGGUCUUUGACAUUCAAUAUCUGAACCAUCUCACACCAAUCUCUCAUUCUUCGCAAACUCGCCGAAAUUCAAGCUUCGAUGCGAGGUGUUGCGCGUCAUCCGAGUGUCGCUGCCUCCGUGAGCUGAGACCGUCGCUGUGUGCGCAAUAAUGGGCUAACUCAAAAUUCUAGAGCCCUAAAUUGUUUCUAAGUUAGUUUUCUCUUUGGGGCUGAAAAGAAACCCUACUGGAGUUUCCUUGCAGAUUCUUGUGCUGCUUGUAAUAGAUUCUUUUUUCAAGAAUUUCCAUAGUUUGAAGUUUUAAGGAUUAGGACAUAUAGAUGGGAAGAAGAAGAGUAAAUCCUUUCUUGGAAUUUACUACUCAUCUAACUUUUACUGUUUUGCCUAUUUUCUCUUUGAGGCUUUCUUUCUUUGUAUUGAUGUUGCAGACUACAAUCCCCAAAGGGAGGCUAACGAUGAGCACCUGAGAUCUCAAAAUUUUGCAGUAUGUUCUAAAGAAGAUUAGGCUGGCAAAGCAAAUUGAGAAAUUCAAGUAGACUGCGCAUCAGGAGGUUGGUGAUAGGUGGAAGUCAAAAAAUCAAGCUUGAGAUAAAUUUCUUGAGGUUUUCUAUACGGAAGCUUCAAUGUCACUUUCUCUCUUCUCACCCAACGCACACACCCAGAUCCGCACUCAAAUCAGCGGCGUGGGUGCCGCCGCUCGUCCUUCCUGGCAAAGCAACGGCGAUAAGCCGCUGACGCGCCCGGCUCUCCCUUCUCUCUCUCGGCGGCAUCACCGCCUCAUGUAAUAUUGUUUGAAUGAAUGUAUGAAUUUUUGUGAUGUUGGAUGAAAUUUGUUUGAAUGUA